rnacentral:lncRNA from 1 species
CAGGCUCCCACUACUCAGAGCACUGCUCACACUAGAUGGGAUAAUGGCGCAGGAGGGGAUGGCUGCCGUAUUACGGGCUCCUAGCCAACUGUGCUAUUUUGUUAGUUUUUUUGCAUUGUUUGUAACUCUUUUUGUACAUGAUGUUGCUGCUACCACCUCUUAUGACCAAAAAAGCUUCUGGACAUCAGAACAAUGAUUACUCACCUCGAACUGGAAGAAGAUUCUUUUCUUUAAUGAGUCCGACGUGAAGGAUAUACUGCUUUGUCAUGACAAGGCCCAAAUCCCCGCCAUCAGCGUGAAGAAAAGACAGAGAAAAAGGGGAAGGAGGGCGGGGUGCCUUGUAAGAAUUUGCUGACGAGUAGAGACGUGGCUGAAUGACGACAUGGAUAAUAUAGAGCUGGCUCGCUUCUCCGUGUAUCGGCAGGACAGAGCAGCUACGUCUGCUAGUGACUGACACCAUGGAGCCUGAGGAGAAUGAAGAGAGUCCCCAGCUGACAGCCCAGACCAACAAGGAGACCCUGGUUCCUAUCAUAAAGAAGCAUGUGAAACGUCAGAGUAUGGUAGUCAGUGAUGAGGGAAGAGUUUAUGCAAGUCUCUCACAGGAAGUCUACAGGCAUGUGAAGGUCAACCAUUAUCAGAAUUAUGUAGACCCGCUUACAGGUCUGCAUACUCAGAAUAUCGAGAGGGCGUGGGAGACUUACAAGAAGGAAGUGUGGCGUCUGCGUGUAAACCGUUCAGAGAAGUUCAUAAAGAGGCAGCUCUGCUUCAUAGAGUGGAGAUACUGGUUGGGCAGGAGACAAACAUGGAGUCCUUGGUAGACUUUUU